rnacentral:rRNA from 1 species
CAGCUCCAGUAGCGUAUAUUAAAGUUGUUGCAGUUAAAAAGCUCGUAGUUGAAGCUCUGCGGGGCGGGUCGCUGGGCCUCGGUCUGGUGACCUUCCUCGCAUCCAUCUGAGCAACGGCUCCGGCAUUAACUUGUCGCUGUCGUGAUCAGGUA